CAGCCGGCGCGGUAAAACCAGCACCUUAAGUGGUCAGGAUGAUUAUUGGGCCUAAAGCAUCCGUAGCCGGCUUUGUAAGUUUUUGGUUAAAUUUGUACGCUUAACGUACCGGCUGCCGGGAAUUCUGCAGAGGUAGGGAGUGGGAGAGGUAGGCGGUACUUGGUAGGAAGGGGUAAAAUCCUUUGAUUUAUUGAUGGCCCCCUGUGGGGAAGGCGGUUUACCAGAACACGUUCGGCGGUGAGGGAUGAAGGCUGGGGGAGCAAACCGGAUUAGAUACCCGGGUAGUCCCAGCUGUAAACUAUGCAAACUCAGUGAUGCAUUGGCUUGUGGCCAAUGCAGUGCUGCAGGGAAGCCGUUAAGUUUGCCGCCUGGGAAGUACGUACGCAAGUAUGAAACUUAAAGGAAUUGGCGGGGGAGCAC
rnacentral:rRNA from 2 species